rnacentral:rRNA from 1 species
CUUGGUCAUUUAGAGGAAGUAAAAGUCGUAACAAGGUCUCCGUUGGUGAACCAGCGGAGGGAUCAUUACCGAGUUUACAACUCCCAAACCCAAUGUGAACGUUACCAAACUGUUGCCUCGGCGGGGUCACGCCCCGGGUGCGUAAAAGCCCCGGAACCAGGCGCCCGCCGGAGGGACCAACCAAACUCUUUCUGUAGUCCCCUCGCGGACGUUAUUUCUUACAGCUCUGAGCAAAAAUUCAAAAUGAAUCAAAACUUUCAACAACGGAUCUCUUGGUUCUGGCAUCGAUGAAGAACGCAGCGAAAUGCGAUAAGUAAUGUGAAUUGCAGAAUUCAGUGAAUCAUCGAAUCUUUGAACGCACAUUGCGCCCGCCAGUAUUCUGGCGGGCAUGCCUGUCCGAGCGUCAUUUCAACCCUCGAACCCCUCCGGGGGAUCGGCGUUGGGGAUCGGGACCCCUCACCGGGUGCCGGCCCUGAAAUACAGUGGCGGUCUCGCCGCAGCCUCUCCUGCGCAGUAGUUUGCACAACUCGCACCGGGAGCGCGGCGCGUCCACGUCCGUAAAACACCCAACUUUCUGAAAUGUUGACCUCGGAUCAGGUAGGAAUACCCGCUGAACUUAAGCAUAUCAAUAAGCGGAGGA